AACAGCAGCCACAAGAACUGCUUUCUUCCCCUCUUUGCUCCUCACCGAAAUCUCCUUCCCUACUCAACUCCAAUUCAGAUGACGCGCAGCAAGGGUAUUGACGGCGCACCACCGCUGGUAAGCCUCCUUUCCUUACUCUUUUUUUUGUUUAUUCAUUUUAAGAAACCAGGAAAAAAAAAAGAAAGAACAAAGCAGUAAAAAGAACAGAAAAAUUUGAGCAAAAUUGAUCACCUUUCCCAAAAUUGUUUUUCUGAUUUUUUUUCUCUUGUAUUUUCUUUUUUAAUUUUCAAUACAAAAUUUUGGUAACCCUUAUUACAGAUUCGAUUUUACUUUAAAUAGCCAAAAUAACGAAAAGAACCGAAAACCUCUUUUCCACCCUUUACAGUUCGUGGUUGUUGCAGGUACGAGCGUGUGGCGUGCGUGGAGUGUUGAACGUGGGACGGUGUGGAGGCUGCCAAACGUGGGGCAUGUGGCGCUGCUAAUUGCUGCUAGGGUUUCUGCUGUUUUAGGCCACUUGGGCCCUGUAAUUGGGUUUAGCUUGGCCCAAGUUUUAUUGGGUUUGGGCCCGGGCAUAUUUGGGCUUGUACAGCUGCCCCUCUUUGCUCGUUGUCAUGUAACGGGAACAGAGCAAAGACUAAAAGCCCAAUUGUGCCCGGUCUUACUAAGCCUUGACUUCUUCGGUGCUUUUCUUCUUUAAAUAGUCUCAUUCCUUCCUA
rnacentral:lncRNA from 1 species